UCGAUUACACUAUUCAUGUAAUCAAUUACAUGAUAUGUCUGCUUGAAAAAUAUGAUUGUUUAAAGGAUGAUAAUCGAUUACAUCGAAAGUGUAACCGAUUACACCUACAAAAAAUGUAAAAAAUUUGAACCAUUAUGAUUCCGAUUCAUUUCAAUGGUUCAUGGAUCUUCCCCAAACCAUUGUAUCAAAUCCUACUUCAAGAGGAAAUUAUAGUCGUAACACCUUGUCACGGGUUAACCAUAAU
rnacentral:lncRNA from 1 species